rnacentral:rRNA from 1 species
GUGGGGAAUCUCCCACAAUGGACGAAAGUCUGAUGGAGCAACGCCGCGUGAGUGAAGAAGGGUUUCGGCUCGUAAAGCUCUGUUGUCGGGGACGAAUGUGCAGUAUUUGAAUAAAGUAUUGCAAUGACGGUACCUGACGAGGAAGCCACGGCUAACUACGUGCCAGCAGCCGCGGUAAUACGUAGGUGGCAAGCGUUGUCCGGAAUUAUUGGGCGUAAAGGGAGCGCAGGCGGGAAGGUAAGUCGGUCUUAAAAGUGCGGGGCUCAACCCCGUGAUGGGAUCGAAACUAUCUUUCUUGAGUGCAGGAGAGGAAAGUGGAAUUCCUAGUGUAGCGGUGAAAUGCGUAGAUAUUAGGAGGAACACCAGUGGCGAAGGCGACUUUCUGGACUGUAACUGACGCUGAGGCUCGAAAGCCAGGGGAGCGAACGGGAUUAGAAACCCUUGUAGUCC